GAUCCUGGCUCAGGAUGAACGCUAGCGGCAGGCUUAACACAUGCAAGUCGAGGGGCAGCGCGGAGUAGCAAUACUCUGGCGGCGACCGGCGAAAGGGUGAGUAACGCGUGAGCAACAUGCCCGAUAGUGGAGGAUAGUCGAUGGAAACGUCGUGUAAUACUCCGUAACAACAGAGACCGCAUGAUCUUUGUUUAAUAGAUUUAUUGCUAUCGGAUUGGCUCGCGUACCAUUAGCUAGUUGGCGGGGUAACGGCCCACCAAGGCGACGAUGGUUAGGGGUUCUGAGAGGAAGGUCCCCCACAUUGGAACUGAGACACGGUCCAGACUCCUACGGGAGGCAGCAGUGAGGAAUAUUGGACAAUGGCCGGAAGGCUGAUCCAGCCAUGCCGCGUGCGGGAAAGACGGCCCUAUGGGUUGUAAACCGCUUUUGUUGGGGAGCAAUAAGGAGCACGUGUGCUUCGAUGAGAGUACCCAGCGAAUAAGCAUCGGCUAACUCCGUGCCAGCAGCGGC
rnacentral:rRNA from 1 species